UAGAGGGGAGAUGCGUGUUAAAUAUCCUGCUUGCACCACUUUUUUUUACGACUGAUUGUGAAACUGCUCAAGUUGCUAAAAUAAAGUUUCCUGAACUUCUCCCAUACAAUGGCCCUGAGGAGCGUGACAAACUGACUGAGGAGUUUCUGGACUACCAGUCCAUGGACAUUGCCAUGCCCGAAGACCCAGCAAUGUUUGACUGUUAGAGCUUUUGGGGGAACAUGGCAUCAAUGAAGAAUAAGGUGACCGGUAUGAGCAGAUUUGGCAGGCUGUCUCGUAUUGCCAUGUUGGUCUUGGUAUUUCCUCAUUCAAAUGCUGAUGCAGAACGAGUUUUCUCUGUGGUUGGCCUGAACAAAACCAAAACCCGAAACAGUUUGGC